UACGGAGGGUGCGAGCGUUGUCCGGAAUCAUUGGGCGUAAAGAGCUCGUAGGCGGCCGGUUGCGUCUGCUGUGAAAUCCCGGGGCUUAACCCCGGGCGUGCAGUGGAUACGGGCCGGCUGGAGGCAGGCAGGGGAGAAUGGAAUUCCCGGUGUAGCGGUGAAAUGCGCAGAUAUCGGGAGGAACACCGGUGGCGAAGGCGGUUCUCUGGGCCUGUACUGACGCUGAGGAGCGAAAGCGUGGGGAGCGAACAGG
rnacentral:rRNA from 1 species